AAAGAUAAAGUAUUAUUGUACUUUUUAGUUACAUUAAAAAGGUCUCUUUAGAGUAUCUUUA
rnacentral:tRNA from 1 species